rnacentral:rRNA from 1 species
AUUGAACGCUGGCGGCAGGCCUAACACAUGCAAGUCGAACGGUAACAGGGAGCAGCUUGCUGCUCUGCUGACGAGUGGCGGACGGGUGAGUAAUGUCUGGGAAACUGCCUGAUGGAGGGGGAUAACUACUGGAAACGGUAGCUAAUACCGCAUAACGUCUACGGACCAAAGUGGGGGACCUUCGGGCCUCAUGCCAUCAGAUGUGCCCAGAUGGGAUUAGCUAGUAGGUGGGGUAACGGCUCACCUAGGCGACGAUCCCUAGCUGGUCUGAGAGGAUGACCAGCCACACUGGAACUGAGACACGGUCCAGACUCCUACGGGAGGCAGCAGUGGGGAAUAUUGCACAAUGGGCGCAAGCCUGAUGCAGCCAUGCCGCGUGUAUGAAGAAGGCCUUCGGGUUGUAAAGUACUUUCAGCGGGGAGGAAGGYGUUGUGGUUAAUAACCACAGCRAUUGACGUUACCCGCAGAAGAAGCACCGGCUAACUCC